UCAGGUAAAAACUUUUAGUACUGAUUUAUUUUUUAAAAACCUGUCCAUUCUAGACUUGAAAAUGUGAUUAGAUGACCUCUAAGAUAGGAACAGAAUGACAAUUAAUAUUAAAGAUAUUAAUACUUGGUGUUACUAUUUUUGGGUAAGUGAGAUUGGUGUUAAAUCUUUGGAUAAGUACACAUUUGACAGCUGUGUUGGUAAAGAUAAAAUACAGGUUUGUUACCAUCAAACAAUGCGGAAGAUACUGAGAAGAGAACAUAGUGCCGAUUAAGAAUAAAAUAGAAGUUGACAUUUAAAAGAUUAAAGUAGGAUCAAGUCUGAUAAUAUUGAUUGCAAGAAAAUUAUGCAGAAAAAUGUAAAGGGGAGACCCUGCUAUAUGCUUCCUUUUCUAAGGAAAUAUACUUCAAAGAAUUGUUAAAAAAAUUAGAUUCUCAAGGAAAUAAAAUAAACUUUCUUGUUAAUAAGGCAAUAUGCUUGGUAUAUGUUUGGUAGACUUCUUAAGAAAGAGAAAAUACCACAAUUUACAUGCUUCCUGUGCCAAGUAUUUCUUGCCAACAUGUGCUUAUUAUAUUCAUAUGCUUUAAUUCAUAUAGAAAGUAUAAGAGGUGAUGGAAAGGUUUAUGACACUGACUGGGAUGAUGGUUUCACAGUUUUAUACUUAUCUCCAAAUGCAUCACAUUGUAUUUAUUAAAUUCUGUAGCUUUUUGUGUCUCAAAAAGAAAAAAAAAAAAAGAAUGAAUCUUAGCUACUUUAAAAAGAUAAGUACUUGGGGAUUUCUCAUUGUGGCACAGUGGAAACAAAUCUAACCAGUAUCCACUAGGAUGUGGGUUCAGUCCCUGGCCUUACUGGGUGGGUCAGGGAUCUGAUGUUGCCAUGAGCUAUGGUGUAGGUCUCAAAAGCGGCUCAGAUCCUGCGUUGCUGUGGCUGUGGUGUAGGCUGGCAGCUUCAGCUCCAAUGUAACUCUUAGCCUGGGAACUUCCAUGUGCUACAGAUGUGGCCCUGAGGAAAAAAAAAAAAAAGUUCAAAUAAAGAUUCAGCUUUAGGGAACUUCAGGAUUUAGAUGGUGUUUAGCACAUGAAGUUGAACUUUUGCCAUUAAAGCUGUAAUUUUCAUCACAUACACAAGUCAUGAGCCUUACCAUCAGCUUACUCAUCCAGUUCUUAAAUUUCACUGUCACAGUGAUUUUGUCCCAAUUUUUAAGAGUAUUAUUGCUUUGCAUCUAAUGGUUGAAACUCUGCAGCUUUGAAUUAAAUCUGCUGAAUGAAUAAUUUUUUAUUAACAAGGUGAAAAAUGAAUUCCCAUUUACCUAAUCAGAUUUUUGACAAUUUUUCAUGGAGAUAAAUAACAGAAUAACCUAGCAGUUAAAAACUUUGACUUAGUUAAGUAUAUACUUUCCAGUUGAAGAAGAUAUUACAGGUCACUUCCUAUAAAUUAUAAAUUUGUUCGAAAACUUUUUAAAAAGUCACAAUGUUUUUAAAAUAUUUAUAAUUUUACUACUUUAUUGAUCAUACUGAAAAAAUCAAGAGGAAAAUUAUUCAAGACAAAAUUAUUCUCAGUGACUGCGAGUGUAUUCAGAGUGUGAGUUAGCAAUCCUGCAGGGCUGUAUGUUGUAUCAAUAUGUGCACAUCUUUUUUUUUAAUUUCUUUAUAUAUAUAUUUUUUCUGUGUGUUACCGGGUCACCUUGCUGUACAUCAGAAAACUGACAGAACACUAUAAACCAGCUAUAAU
rnacentral:lncRNA from 1 species